AUUGAACGCUGGCGGCAGGCCUAACACAUGCAAGUCGAGCGGAGCGGGGACGGGUGAGUAACACGUGGGUAACCUCCCAUCAGAGGGGAUAACACUUGGAAACAGGUGCUAAACCGAUACUGAUGGAUGGACCCGCGGUGCAUUAGCUAGUUGGUGAGGUAACGGCUCACCAAGGCCACGAUGCAUAGCCGACCUGAGAGGGUGAUCCGCCACACUGGGACUGAGAAACGGCCCAGAAUCCUACGGGAGGGCGCAGUAGGGAAUCUUUGGGAAUGGACGAAAGUUCGAACCAGGAACGGCGCGUGAGGGAAGAAGGUUUUCGGAUCGGAAAACCCUGUUGUUAGAGAAGCGGUAUCUAACCAGAAAGCCACGGCUAACUACGUGCCAGCAGCCGCGGUAAUAC
rnacentral:rRNA from 1 species